AAGAAAGUAAGAAAGGGCGUAUGGCGGAUGCCUAGGCUCACGGAGGCGAUGAAGGACGUGAUAAGCUGCGAUAAGCUUCGGGUAGGUGCAAAUAACCUUUGAUCCGAAGAUUUCCGAAUGGGACAACCUAGCCGUCUGAAGGACGGUUACUAGCACUUAUGUGUUAGAGCUAACGCAGGGAACUGAAACAUCUUAGUACCUGUAGGAAGAGAAAAUAAAUUAAUGAUUCCCCCAGUAGUGGCGAGCGAACGGGGAACAGCCCAAACCAGUGGCGUCGCAAGGCGUGGCUGGGGUUGUAGGACCGCGACAUUGUACUGAAAUGGUGAGUGGAAGUAUCUGGAAAGUUACAUCACAGAAGGUGAUAAUCCUGUACACGAAGCCAAAUCAGGCAUAGCGGUAUCCUGAGUAACGCGGGACACGAGGAAUCCUGCGCGAAUCUGCCGGGACCAUCC
rnacentral:ncRNA from 1 species